GCGUUCCGUGAAUCUCACUAAGUUGAGUACGGUCUCUGCUCCAGUUCUCUUGCUCGAGGCCUCCCAUCACAUAUCAGAUGUCGUUUUUCGAAUCUUCGGCCAGGUCAUCUUGCGAGCCACUCUCAAGCUCAUAAGUGGAGCAAAGCAAUCGAAUCAUUCCAGAGUUUCAUCCACGGAUUUAGUCGGUUGGAAUGGAGGUGGAUAUGCUCAUCCUUCAUUUGAAAUUUCAAGGGCAGACACCAAAUUGUGAGGAAUUUGAUUUUCUUGGAUUCGUGGCUAAACAGCACAAGGAAUCCACCAGCUACUGAAGAAAGGGAGCCGCCUUUUGGUGGCAAUGUAAAGUCACUUUGGGCUUCGACGGGCCAGCUAGCUAAUAUAGCAUAGGUCGUUUCUUGCAGAUGGCCAUGUACUUAGUGCCACAGAAGCACUCGGUAUUAAGAAAGUUAUGAGACUCUUUUAUCGAACAGUGAGUCAGGAAUGAUGUAUUGCGAUGGAUGAGAAUUGAAAACAAUAUUUACGAUUGGGGUUUGACCGGAGGCCAAUACCAACAGGAAAUACUGAUUCCCUAAAGUUAUUAUACCUUAUUUUUUGCCAACGGAAUAUCAAGGCCGUGUUUCAAGUGAAAAUGGACUAGACUGAGUCUCCAGAUGGUUGGGCAUUUAAAUAUCCUG
rnacentral:sRNA from 1 species